rnacentral:rRNA from 1 species
UACGUAGGGUGCAAGCGUUUGUUCGGAAUUAUUGGGCGUAAAGAGCUCGUAGGCGGUCUGUCGCGUCGGCUGUGAAAUCCCGAGGCUCAACCUCGGGUCUGCAGUCGAUACGGGCAAACUAGAGUAUUGCAGGGGAGACUGGAAUUCCUGGUGUAGCGGUGAAAUGCGCAGAUAUCAGGAGGAACACCGGUGGCGAAGGCGGGUCUCUGGGCCGAUACUGACGCUGAGGAGCGAAAGCGUGGGGAGCGAACAGG